GAAUGUGUGUCUGGGAUUGGAAGAUCUGCAGUAUGUUUUCAUGAUUUCUUCACAUGAGCUUUUCAUUACAUUGUUGAAAGAUGAAGAACGAAAGCUACUUGUUGAUCAGAUGAGGAAGAGAUCCCCUAGAGUAAAUCUGUGCAUUAAACCUGUAACUUCAUUUUAUGAUAUCCCAGCCUCAGCAAGUGUCAACAUUGGUUAGAGCAUCAACUUAUAUUGUCAGUGGAUCCUUGGAGGAUUAGACAGAUUUUAAUUGAAUUACAUGGUAUGACUUCAGAGCGCCAAUUCUGGACAGUGUCUAAUAAGUGGGAAGUACCUUCUGUCUAUAGUGCUGUUAUCCUGGGAAUUAAAGACAAUUUAACAAGAGAUUUGGUUUAUAUUCUUAUGGCCAAAGGUUUGCACUGCAGUACUGUUAAGGUGAGUAAAAGUGUGUAUCAAACACCUGUUAAGAAUAUGCAUUUAUGGGGCCAGGUGCGGUGGCUCACAUCUGUAAUCCAGCACUUUGGGAGGCCAAGGUGGGUAGAAGAAUAUGCUUUAUGGCCAGGUGCCGUGGCUCACACCUAUAAUCCUGGCACUUUGGGAGGCUGAGGCAGGCAGAUCAACUGAGGUCGAGACAGCCUGGGCAACAUGGUGAAACCCUGUCUCUACUAAAAAUACAAAAAUUAACUGGGUACCUGUAAUCUCAAAUACUCUGCAGUCUGAAGUAGGAGAAUCUCUUGGGAGGUGGAGGUUAGAAUGAGCUGAGAUUAUGUCACUGCACUCCAACCUGGGUGGCAGAGCAAUACUCCAUCUCAAAAAAAAAAAAAAAAAAAAAGUAUAUGCUUUACUAAUUUUAGCAGGAAGUCAGGAACCAGAAAUUCUUUUCCUAAUCUCUGAAAUUACAAUCAUGGCCUAAAAGGAUAUUUGAACAGGCAUUCUGGUUUGUUCUUUUUCCUUUACCCUUAUAAUUAAAAUGGUCUUGAUCAAAUAAAUGGAUACUGCUCUGUGCCUUUUAAAAGUUUAGAGAACAUGCAAAGAUAUUACUUGUAGAAUUCAGUUAGUAAAGAUUGUGUUCCAAGAUUAAAAAACAAAAUGUUUAAAGUUACUUUUGUAGUGUAUUUUACAUGAGUUUGCAGUCUGGGAUGUUGAGACUUAAGUGGAAUGUAAAUCAUAUAAAAUAGUGCAGUUGCUUGACUGAUGAUACACUAACUUCUGUAGGAAGGUUAAAGACAGCAUUUGGAAGGCAGAUACAAAAGCACAAUUUUAGCUUCUUUGAUCUUCACUAGAUUUAAACUGGUUGAAUGUCCAGUUGUAGAGGAAAAGAGUAAGGUUAACACAUACAGAACUGCUGGAAAUGCAUUACUGAAGACUGCCUCUGAUAGCUGAGCUGUAAUUAGGGAUUUUGGUAAUGAUUUUUGGGUCUCUGGGAAGAACAUGCCCCCUUCUCUCUCAGAAAACACAUGCUUAAUGUUUAUUACUCAAAAUUAACAUUUUAUAAAUACUUUUGUUAGUAUAUUAUGUUCAAAAGUAGGAACCUAUAUGUUAACUCUUUUCAUAUAUUCCACAUAGUUGCUUUGCAUGAACUU
ensembl:lincRNA